GGAGUCUCUUCUGAUCAAUCAUGGGUACUUUCAAGAGGCAGGAGAAGAAAUCUUGAGGUCCCAAGGCUGGAUUUCAGGGGAGUAUGUACUGAAAGCAGAAACAAACCAUGUAAGGGAGAUGUCCAGAAGAAAUCUGAAUUUUAACAUCACACAGACUAUAAAUUUCUAAGGGUAAAUAUAUAAUAGAGACUGGCAUAGGAAAUACCUACAUAUGGGAAAUUCUUUUUAUCAAUUCAAGUUGGUACUUGCUUGGAAAUUUAUAGUCUUAGAAAAUUGUUUGCCCACGACUGCAGAGUUUCUGCGUAUCAGGGGCAGGACAUGCCGACUUUGACACGGGCUCUACAUCACCAUACCACAGGAACAUGGCCUUUUAUUGGUGGCUUCAUUUAAAAUUCCAGUACCUCAUAUAACAUUUUACAAAAUCCUUUGCAAAAAGGAUUUCUCUGCAUCCAUGGAUGGGCAAGUGUAUAGGUAGUUGGUGAAUGCAUGUUGCUUUUUAUCCCUUACCUUCCCAUUAAGUCCCCAUCUCUCUGCCUUCAUUCUCAAGCAGUCUGGACAGAGGACAUAUUGAUCAAUGACAGGAAGGUCAAGAUCAGACAUGUUUUCAUUUGGAUAUGAUUGUGCUGCCUACAAGGAGAAAGAGACCAGCAAUCGGGAAAGAGGGCAAGGUAGUCAGAAGGCUUAUUGUCCACCUGAAAUCUUUCCUCAAAGAGCAACAGACUUGGACUGAUUUGUGCGGCUGGCAGACAGAAGAAUGGGCAUUUUGCAUUUUCUGUGAGGUAGCUGUGAGUCACCCAAUGGUUGGCCAGUUUCAUAUUCUCUGUGCAAGCUCACUCUUGCAAUGAGUCUCUCCCAUUGUUGAUGCAAAUAGGUUGGGAAUCCAUCUGGACAAGACCUUGCCUCCUGUCUGGGAUGCUCUUCUUUUCCCUGGAAUAAAGGGCUUCUUUCUUGUCAUCUCAGGGUCUUUUCUUUUAAUGUUGAAUCAGCAACUGGGUGCAGAUCUGGAACUGUUGUAAUGAUUAGAGGCCCAGGAUCUUGUUCUUCUGAAUCAAAGAGUCAUAGCCAAGAGGAUAGAAACCUCACUCUUCAAGAAGCAGCAGCAAGAGAGAGGAGAACCUGCUUGUCUGGCCCUUAAACAUGUUCCACAUCACUGAUUAAAUCAGAGAAUCAAUAACCUGCUCUUCAGGUUCCAUAGACAGAAACUUCUUGUCAUGUUUCCAUACCCAAGGUCUCACAACCUGGAAUGGCAGUGUUAACAAAUAGCGAGAGGGACACUUGUACUAGAGUUAAAAGACCUAAGUUCAAAUUCCAUCCAUGAUAUUUAUGCCUUUGGACAAAUCACCCAGCCUCAGUUUCCUCAUCUGUAAAAUGAGAAAUUUAAACAAGAUGAUGAGAUAGCCUCUGGGGUCCAGCUUUAACUUCAUGAUCCUCCGAGAGCAUACUCACACCUGUUUGUAUAACAGAAGCUGAAACUACAGACAACAGAAAGUGAAGACAUGCUUGCUUCUAUUUUGGGGGCACCAAAUAGUCCCACUUCCCUACCACACAUAAAAUAGCAUCUCAUAAAUAAUCUUCUGUAGCUGAAAAAUGUAUAACCCUGCAACCAAUUCCAGUGAAGAUCCUUUUCAAGCCUGGUGAGACAUUUCUAGGAAAAAAAAAAAAAAAACCAGAAUCCAUCCUUGA
rnacentral:lncRNA from 1 species